GGAUGAACGCUGGCGGCGUGCCUCAAACAUGCAAGUCGAGCGAGGCUAUGAAUUACCGCAAGGUAAGGCAUAGCCUAGCGGCGAACGGGUGAGUAACACGUGGGUAACCUACCUGGAAGACAGGGAUAACGAUUCGAAAGGGUCGCUAAUACCUGAUAAUAUCCAUCUGCCGGAUGGCGGAGGGAAGAAAGGGGAAACCCGCUUUCAGAUGGGCCCGCGUCCCAUCAGCUAGUUGGUAAGGUAAAGGCUUACCAAGGCGACGACGGGUAGCCGGUCUGAGAGGAUGUACGGCCACACUGGGACUGAGAUACGGCCCAGACUCCUACGGGAGGCAGCAGUUGGGAAUCUUAGGCAAUGGACGAAAGUCUGACCUAGCGACGCCGCGUGAGGGAAGAAGGCCUUCGGGUUGUAAACCUCUGUCAUGGGGGAAGAAGGAAGUGACGGUACCCCAAGAGGAAGCCCCUGCUAACUACGUGCCAGCAGCCGCGGUAAUACGUAGGGGGCUAGCGUUAUCCGGAAUUAUUGGGCGUAAAGGGCGAGUAGGCGGUUUGUUAAGUCAGGUGUGAAAUUUCAGGGCUCAACCCUGAAACUGCGCUUGAAACUGGCAGGCUNGGGGACAGGAGAGGGAAGUGGAAUUCCCGGUGUAGCGGUGGAAUGCGUAGAUAUCGGGAGGAACACCAGUGGCGAAGGCGGCUUCCUGGACUGUACCUGACNNNGAGGAGCGAAAGCUGGGGGAGCAAACAGGAUUAGAUACCCUGGUAGUCCCAGCUGUAAACGAUGAGUGCUAGGUGUGGAGGGCUACAAUCCCCCGUGCCGCAGUUAACGCAAUAAGCACUCCGCCUGGGGAGUACGGCCGCAAGGCUAAAACUCAAAGGAAUUGACGGGGGCCCGCACAAGCAGUGGAGCGUGUGGUUUAAUUCGAGGCAACGCGCAGAACCUUACCAGGGUUUGACAUCCUCUGACAUACAUGGAAACAUGUACUCGUCCUUCGGGGCGCAGGGAGACAGGUGGUGCAUGGCUGUCGUCAGCUCGUGUCGUGAGAUGUUGGGUUAAGUCCCGCAACGAGCGCAACCCUUGUCCUAAGUUGCCAGCGAGUAAAGUCGGGAACUUUUAGGAGACCGCCGGCGACAAGCCGGAGGAAGGUGGGGAUGACGUCAAGUCAUCAUGCCCUUUAUGCCCUGGGCGACACACGUGCUACAAUGGCCGGUACAGAGGGCGGCGAAAGCGCGAGCUGGAGCGAAUCCCCCAAAACCGGUCCCAGUUCGGAUCGCAGGCUGCAACUCGCCUGCGUGAAGUAGGAAUCGCUAGUAAUCACGGGUCAGCAUACCGUGGUGAAUACGUUCCCGGGCCU
rnacentral:rRNA from 1 species